CAGUAGCCGCGGUAAUACGUAGGGUGCAAGCGUUAAUCGGAUUUACUGGGCGUAAAGCGUGCGUAGGCGGCUAAUUGAGUCGGAUGUGAAAUCCCCGAGCUUAACUUGGGAAUUGCAUUCGAUACUGGUUAGCUAGAGUGUGGGAGAGGAUGGUAGAAUUCCAGGUGUAGCGGUGAAAUGCGUAGAGAUCUGGAGGAAUACCGAUGGCGAAGGCAGCCAUCUGGCCUAACACUGACGCUGAGGUACGAAAGCAUGGGGAGCAAACAGGAUUAGAUACCCCAGUAGUCCCUGUCUCUUAUAC
rnacentral:rRNA from 1 species